rnacentral:rRNA from 1 species
GAAAUCCAGCUGGUUAAUACCCGGUUGGGAUGACGGUACCCAAAGAAUAAGCACCGGCUAACUUCGUGCCAGCAGCCGCGGUAAUACGAAGGGUGCAAGCGUUACUCGGAAUUACUGGGCGUAAAGCGUGCGUAGGUGGUCGUUUAAGUCCGUUGUGAAAGCCCUGGGCUCAACCUGGGAACUGCAGUGGAUACUGGACGACUAGAGUGUGGUAGAGGGUAGCGGAAUUCCUGGUGUAGCAGUGAAAUGCGUAGAGAUCAGGAGGAACAUCCAUGGCGAAGGCAGCUACCUGGACCAACACUGACACUGAGGCACGAAAGCGUGGGGAGCAAACAGGAUUACAUACCCUGGUAGUCCACGCCCUAAACGGAUGCGAACUGGAGGGUUGGGGUGCA